rnacentral:rRNA from 1 species
GAUGAACGCUGGCGGCGUGCCUAAUACAUGCAAGUCGAGCGAACAGACGAGGAGCUUGCUCCUCUGACGUUAGCGGCUUACGGGUGAGUAACACGUGGAUAACCUACCUAUAAGACUGGGAUAACUUCGGGAAACCGGAGCUAAUACCGGAUAAUAUAUUGAACCGCAUGGUUCAAUAGUGAAAGACGGUUUUGCUGUCACUUAUAGAUGGAUUCGCGCCGCAUUAGCUAGUUGGUAAGGUAACGGCUUACCAAGGCGACGAUGCGUAGCCGACAUGAGAGGGUGAACGGCCACACUGGAACUGAGACGCGGUCCAGACUCCUACGGGAGGCAGCAGUAGGGAAUCUUACGCAAUGGGCGAAAGCCUGACGGAGCAACGCCGCGUGAGUGAUGAAGGUCUUCGGAUCGUAAAACUAUGUUAUUAGGGAAGAACAAAUGUGUAAGUAACUAUGCACGUCUUGACGGUACCUAAUCAGAAAGCCACGGCUAACUACGUG